rnacentral:sRNA from 1 species
GCGCCUGCGAAAUCAGGCGUCGGGAUUAGCCUCCUGAAAACCGUUACAGGAGACUUCUCUAU